GUGUCAGCAGCCGCGGUAAUACGUAGGGGGCAAGCGUUGCUCGGAAUUACUGGGCGUAAAGGGAGUGCAGGCGGCCGGUUAAGUCAAAGAUGAAAUCCCGAGGCUCAACUUCGGAACGGUCUUUGAUACUGAUCGGCUUGAGGCUGGUUGAGGCGAGCAGAAUUCCCGGUGGAGCGGUGAAAUGCGUAGAUAUCGGGAGGAAUACCAGAGGCGAAGGCGGCUCGCUAAACUAGUCCUGACGCUGAGACUCGAAAGCUAGGGGAGCAAACGGGAUUAGAUACCCCAGUAGUCC
rnacentral:rRNA from 1 species